rnacentral:lncRNA from 1 species
UCCCAGUUUCCAUCCUGUUCAUAUUUUCCAAGGCCGUUUUCUUGUUUUCCUGAUGCCAAAAAAUGCAUAUUGGGAAAGAGGAACAUAACUCACAUAGCAGAAAUCCGAAAUAAUCACUGCUGCUCACAGAGUGCAAUCCUGGCGCUGCCAGCCCACGCUGCGGUCCUGUGUUCCACAUGCUGAUGGAUCUGUGCCACCACCUCAGAGGUUUUGGGGCCAUCCGUCCAACACUGGGGGCUGUGCUGCUCGGAGAGAUGAAGUUGUGUGGAUCCCGGCAGAGAGGAAAUUCCGCAUCGUCGCCCCAGGGAGAACGGGAAAGAAAACAGGGAGGAAAAACCUUUUGGUGCGACGAUGGGGAAUAACGCGAGCGCUGCGCGCUGCUGGGCUGGGAGCGAAGCACAGAGCCCGGGCAGAAGAGCGGCUGGGAUGGGAUACCGGGUGGGCUGCAUCCAGAACGGGCCCGUACGCUGCAUGCGCAACGAGGGGGGCUGCAGGAAGCGCUGUUUGCGGGCUCCGGCCUCCAGGUGGCAGGCAGAGGCCGGGGUGCUUCUGGCCGUGCGUCCUCCGACGAAAGCCCGAGGUGGUAUCGAUGCGGGUAAAUAAUCGGCACGGACAAACGGUGCCGGAUCCUUCAGAGCUUUACCCGGCUUUGCACCCUUUAUCCCCGUGCAUUUCAGUUCGCAGGUGAUGCCACCUGGGUGUUUUUUCUAUCUCCACGCCAGCAUUUUUCCUCUACUUCAGCGUUCCCAGAGGUGCGUUCCUUGUUGCGGCGCCUAUCGCGGCGCUGGAAGUGCCUCCCAUCCUCCUCAACAGACCGUGCACCGACCUGCAGCACCACGCUGAGAUAAGGAGAGGGCUCUGGGAUGAAUAAGCUGAGAACAGGGAGCCCCAUUGCUGCCCCUUAAGGCACCUUCCUUCGGUACCAGGAUCUCAGCAGAAGGAGGUGGGGCUGCCAGGCAGGAGGUGCCCCUGCGAGGCACCACUGGGACGGAACCGGCUCACCUUUCCAGGAUCACUUCCCAGGGAAGCAAAUUGCACACGAAAAGUAUUUGAUUCGAGUUCAUAGCCAAGAAAAAAAAAAAGAAAUCACAGAACAAACAUCUCCCCUGCUUGAAGGGCCCUCUUCAAGUGUCAGAAACGAAAUGGAGCAGGAUGAUUAACACUGGCAUCCUGGUGCCCCACUGCUGAGCUCAGAUAGAUGAGACCCCAUUCCUCCCCCAGGUCACCUCUGUGUUUUUGGGGUUGGCCUUGGGACAGGGCCAUCAGCCAAGACAGAGAUGGUUCAUUGCCUCAGGGAGAUGCAGUGCUGUACCAUUUGUUAUUAGUAACACCCGUCUCAUUCUCAGUGCUGUUUGGGCACUGUGUGCCACGGAGCAGAUGGGGCUCAUUUGAAGCCCUCCAGAUCACAGGGGUCCAUGUGCAACUGAUAAAGGCCCACUGGGGGGGAGGGAAGGG